AACGAACGCUGGCGGCAGGCCUAACACAUGCAAGUCGAGCGGACCCUUCGGGGUUAGCGGCGGACGGGUGAGUAACGCGUGGGAAUAUGCCCUUCUCUACGGAAUAGUCCUGGGAAACUGGGGGUAAUACCGUAUACGCCCUUUGGGGGAAAGAUUUAUCGGGGAAGGAUUAGCCCGCGUUGGAUUAGGUAGUUGGUGGGGUAAUGGCCUACCAAGCCGACGAUCCAUAGCUGGUUUGAGAGGAUGAUCAGCCACACUGGGACUGAGACACGGCCCAGACUCCUACGGGAGGCAGCAGUGGGGAAUCUUAGACAAUGGGGGCAACCCUGAUCUAGCCAUGCCGCGUGAGUGAUAAAGGCCUUAGGGUUGUAAAGCUCUUUCAGCUGGGAAGAUAAUGACGGUACCAGCAGAAGAAGCCCCGGCUAACUCCGUG
rnacentral:rRNA from 1 species